UUCCGGUUGAUCCUGCCGGACCUGACUGCUAUCGGAUUGGUACUAAGCCAUGCGAGUCAUUGUAGCAAUACAAGGCGGACGGCUCAGUAACACGUAGUCAACCUAACUCGUGGACGUGGAUAACCUCGGGAAACUGAGAAUAAACCACGAUAGAUCAUAGUGCCUGGAAUGGCCUCUGGUCCAAACAGUUUACUGCCAUGGGAUGGGACUGCGGCCUAUCAGCUUGUUGGUGAGGUAAUGGCCCACCAAGGCGAU
rnacentral:rRNA from 1 species